UACGUAGGGGGCGAGCGUUGUCCGGAUUUAUUGGGCGUAAAGCGCUCGCAGGCGGUCCGAUGCGUCGUGCGUGAAAGCCCCCCGGCUCAACUGGGGAGGGUCACGCGAUACUGAUCGACUCGAAGGCAGGAGAGGGUAGUGGAAUUCCUGGUGUAGCGGUGGAAUGCGCAGAUAUCAGGAGGAACACCAAUGGCGAAGGCAGUUCUCUGGUACGUGAUUGACGCUGAGACGCGAAAGCGUGGGGGAGCAAACAGG
rnacentral:rRNA from 1 species